rnacentral:tRNA from 1 species
GCGAUCAUGGUGAAAUGGUAGACACACUAGAUUUAGGUUCUAGGUUUUGCAGGUUCAAGUCCUGUUGGUCGUA